CACCCCUUUCCAGUUGAGCACACAAUGGCGAAUCAUUAAAUAUGGUGCUAUUGUGCACGGAACCUGGCCAUCUUGCAAUUAUAUUCCUGAUUUUCAGGUUCGCAUCACACACCAUUUGUACAUUUAAAGAAAAAUAACCUUUUCUGUUUCUAUAUAUUUCAGAUGUUGAUCCUCCUGAAAAUAAAUAAUAAUAUAUUAAUUUGCUAUUGUAUGGAAAUAAUUGUUUAAGUAGCUACCUAUUAAAAGUACUAGCUAGGUAAUGACAAAAUAUACAUUAAUCAUAUUUACCUGGUGAAUUUAUCUUAAUAUGGGUGCAGUCAAUAGCCCCAAUUAUUCUGGGAAAUCCUGCAAUUGCGUAAAAUCCGUUUGCAACGUCCACAAACUCUUUACAACUUGGCUUAUUGAUAAACAAAGAUUUCAUGCCGGUAAUUUUGGCUGUUACUUUAUGCACAAUCCGGUGAACAGUUGGUUGUUCGACAUGAAAGAUAUCUCCUAUUACACGUUGGUAACUGCCUGUGGCGUAAAAUCUUAACGUAAUUAAUAUUUGGUCUAUUGGCUGCAGAGCUCUGUUUCGCUUCGUAAAAGGCCUGAUGCUGCUUCCAAGCUCCGAAUCCAAAUACAAAACUGUUUCUUUGGAAACAAGGAAGCGUGCACGAAAUUCCAUAUCAUUAUAUUUUUCGAAUGCAUUUAAUAUCACAACAUUGUUUCGGGUUGGACGACUUUCAUCAUGGGAAAGAGAAGAUAGCGACGAUAAAGACAUUUUAAGCACACAAAUUCACUAGCAAAAUUAUAAUUUAAUUUAAAUUAUAAUUCAAAGCAAAAUGACAGGAUAACAAGCCUUCAAACUGUUUAGGAGCAAGUCAGACCACCCUUACAUUUGAGUGGACUUUGACAUAAGUUUGACACAUGCUCAACUUUAACCGAUUCAUUGCCACCUUCAUUUUCGUGAACAUUUCAGCCAGGCCCCAUACAUUGGUCGGUGGCUCACCAUUUGAGUCAUCGGCCUCCCUGAAGGAUGACUCAACUGUUGAGUCAUUGGCCCCUGUAAUGAUUUAAUGCUUUUCGCCGUCAUUCGAGCCAGUCUGACAACCAGCAAGGUUUUAUUGUGUUCUCCUAUUCGAAGUAGUGAAUAUUAAAAGUGAAUAUGGCGUUUCAAGAUAAUCAGGAGAACGACGAUUUUACUGAAUGUAGCCAGGCAUUGUUUACUGAUUUCUAUGAUCAACAAAAUGACGAGAAAGAAAACCAAAGUUUUCCAAACUCUAGUCAAUCGAUUUUGGAAAAAAGUAUACCAAAGAAGCGUCAAUUCACUGAAUCUCGGAAUAGUUGCAAUGUAGUUUCUAAUAACAGUUCAGAUACUAGCAUUGAAGAAAUUCUGGACUCUGAUGAAGACGAACAUAUUGAAAGGAAAAAAAAAUGUUAUCUUAAGAAUGAAAAUAAAAUGAAUAAUGAGGUCUCUAUAGAAAAAAAUCAGAACAUGUUUGCUGUGCAGCAAAAAAAUAUUUUAAUGCAUUAUUCUCUAAGGAUUUUACAGCAGAAUUGAAUACACAAGAUGAGUUGCCUCCAAUUUAUGCUCAGUUUGAGCAUGAUUUAGGCAUAAUGCUUGCUUUUCGGUUGAGAAAUGUACCAGCCGACAAACGUUUGGAGUGUUAUGAAAAACUAAUUAAUACUGUUAGACAAUACGAAGGGAAAAAAUAAAGAAAGAUAAUAAACAAGACAUUUAUUAAUAAUAAUAAUUACAAGAAUCA